UACGGAGGGUGCAAGCGUUAUCCGGAUUCACUGGGUUUAAAGGGUGCGUAGGCGGACAGUUAAGUCAGUGGUGAAAUCUUUGGGCUUAACCCGAAAACUGCCAUUGAUACUAUCUGUCUUGAAUAUUGUGGAGGUGAGCGGAAUAUGUCAUGUAGCGGUGAAAUGCUUAGAUAUGACAUAGAACACCUAUUGCGAAGGCAGCUCACUACGCAUAUAUUGACGCUGAUGCACGAAAGCGUGGGGAUCAAACAGG
rnacentral:rRNA from 1 species